rnacentral:rRNA from 1 species
UUAAUAAAAGUAUUUUAUUUUUAGUAUUAUUAAGAAAAAUUUAUUAGUAUGAUAGUGAAAUUGUAAUGUAAAUGAAUAAAUUUAUUUAAUAAAAAGAAUAUUUUAUUAAUUGUAUCUUGUGUAUCAGAGUUUAUUAAAAUUUAUUUAAUUAUUUAAAGAUCUCGAAAUUUUAAGAGUUAUAUUAAUAAAUUAUUGAUGUUUUAAAAUUUUAAUUAAAUUUAUUAUAGAAAUGAUAAGUUAAUCGUUUAAAAUUAUAUCUAGUUUUUUUAGAAUAAAUUUAAUUUUUAAUAAUUUAAAUUAUGUUUAAAUUUUUAAAUUUUUUAGGGAUAAGCUUAAAGGAUUAAUUAAAUUUAAUAAAAAAUGUUAAAAAUAUAUAGGAAUAAAAUUUUUCAUUAUUAUAGUUUUUUAUAAAUUAUUUAUAUAUAAUUAAAAAUUUUUUAAUUUUUUAAAUUAAUUAUAAAAAUAUUAGAUUAAAUAAAAUUUUUUAAGAGAUAAUGAUAAAAUUAGUAAAUAUUUUUUAAUUUAAUUAAUAACAUAAAAUAAAUUAUUUAUAUGAAUUAGGCAAAAUUAUUUUCACCUGUUUAAUAAAAACAUGGUUGUUUGUAUUUUAUAAAUGAUUAGACCUGCCCAUUGAUUUUUUAAAGGCUGCAGUAUUUUUAACUGUACAAAGGUAGCAUAAUCAUUAGUUUUUUAAUUGAAAACUUGUAUGAAUGGUUUGAUGAAAAAUAAACUUUAUUUUUAUAAUUAUUUGAAUUUUUUAUUUAAAUGAAAAAUUUUAAAUAUUUAAGAAAGACGAUAAGACCCUAUAAAAUUUUAUUAUAUUGAAAUUUUUAAUUAAUAUAUUAAUUUAGUUGGGGAAAUUAAAUUAUUGAAUUAAUUUAUGAAUUUAAUUAAUAUUAUAAAUUUAAGGAUUUUUAAGUUAUAAAAUAGAAAGAAUAAAUUGCUUUAGGGAUAACAGCGUUAUUUUUUUUUAUAGUUCGUAUAGAAAAAAAAGUUUGCGACCUCG